GGUUUUCGGAUCGUAAAGCUCUGUUGUUAGGGAAGAACAAGUGCGAGAGUAACUGCUCGCACCUUGACGGUACCUAACCAGAAAGCCACGGCUAACUACGUGCCAGCAGCCGCGGUAAUACGUAGGUGGCAAGCGUUGUCCGGAAUUAUUGGGCGUAAAGGGCUCGCAGGCGGUUUCUUAAGUCUGAUGUGAAAGCCCCCGGCUCAACCGGGGAGGGUCAUUGGAAACUGGGAAACUUGAGUGCAGAAGAGGAGAGUGGAAUUCCACGUGUAGCGGUGAAAUGCGUAGAGAUGUGGAGGAACACCAGUGGCGAAGGCGACUCUCUGGUCUGUAACUGACGCUGAGGAGCGAAAGCGUGGGGAGCGAACAGGAUUAGAUACCCUGGUAGUCCACGCCGUAAACGAUGAGUGCUAAGUGUUAGGGGGUUUCCGCCCCUUAGUGCUGCAGCUAACGCAUUAAGCACUCCGCCUGGGGAGUACGGUCGCAAGACUGAAACUCAAAGGAAUUGACGGGGGCCCGCACAAGCGGUGGAGCAUGUGGUUUAAUUCGAAGCAACGCGAAGAACCUUACCAGGUCUUGACAUCCUCUGACAACCCUAGAGAUAGGGCUUUCCCUUCGGGGACAGAGUGACAGGUGGUGCAUGGUUGUCGUCAGCUCGUGUCGUGAGAUGUUGGGUUAAGUCCCGCAACGAGCGCAACCCUUGAUCUUAGUUGCCAGCAUUCAGUUGGGCACUCUAAGGUGACUGCCGGUGACAAACCGGAGGAAGGUGGGGAUGACGUCAAAUCAUCAUGCCCCUUAUGACCUGGGCUACACACGUGCUACAAUGGACAGAACAAAGGGCUGCAAGACCGCAAGGUUUAGCCAAUCCCAUAAAUCUGUUCUCAGUUCGGAUCGCAGUCUGCAACUCGACUGCGUGAAGCUGGAAUCGCUAGUAAUCGCGGAUCAGCAUGCCGCGGUGAAUACGUUCCCGGGCCUU
rnacentral:rRNA from 1 species